GACGAACCGUGCGAACGUUAUUCGGAAUCACUGGGCUUAAAGAGCGUGUAGGCGGCCAGAUAGGUCAGCUGUGAAAACUCGAGGCUCAACCUCGAGACGUCGGUUGAAACCAUCUGGCUAGAGUCCGGAAGAGGAGAGUGGAAUUCCCGGUGUAGCGGUGAAAUGCGCAGAUAUCGGGAAGAACACCCGUGGCGAAGGCGGCUCUCUGGGACGGUACUGACGCUGAGACGCGAAAGCGUGGGGAGCGAACAGG
rnacentral:rRNA from 1 species